rnacentral:lncRNA from 1 species
UGUGGCUGAGCUGAACCCUCGUCAUCUAAGGUUGAAUUCACUGGAAGCUUUGCCAAGUAUUCAUCCUCCAAUGUUGAGUCCAUUUGUAGCUUAGCCGAAUUCUCAUCACCCAAUGUUGUAUCUACCUCUGGCUGAGCCGAAUUCCCAUCCUCCAACAUUGAUUCUGUUUGUGGCUGAGCUGAACCCUCGUCAUCUAAGGUUGAAUUCACUGGAAGCUUUGCCAAGUAUUCAUCCUCCAAUGUUGAGUCCAUUUGUAGCUUAGCCGAAUUCUCAUCACCCAAUGUUGUAUCUACCUCUGGCUGAGCCGAAUUCCCAUCCUCCAACAUUGAUUCUGUUUGUGGCUGAGCUGAACCCUCGUCAUCUAAGGUUGAAUUCACUGGAAGCUUUGCCAAGUAUUCAUCCUCCAAUGUUGAGUCCAUUUGUAGCUUAGCCGAAUUCUCAUCACCCAAUGUUGUAUCUACCUCUGGCUGAGCCGAAUUCCCAUCCUCCAACAUUGAUUCUGUUUGUGGCUGAGCUGAACCCUCGUCAUCUAAGGUUGAAUUCACUGGAAGCUUUGCCAAGUAUUCAUACUCUCUCGAAUUCACUUGCUCCUGGGCCAAUUUCUCAUCCUCUC